rnacentral:tmRNA from 1 species
GGGGCUGACCGGUUUUGACAGCAAUCGAAGGGUAGUUCUUCAAGCAUCGAAGUCAACAUUCGAUUAAUAAGUUGUUGAAAGUAUUUUUAAACGGAACAGAUAUAACUGAUUACCGUGCUCAAAGAGUUGCAAUAGCAGCUUAAUUAUGAGCCGAGAAUGAUUGAGGCUUGGGAACAGAAAGAUCAAUCGACAUUGUUUUUUUAUUGUAUUUUUUAUUAGAUUUUUUUUGUGUUAAGCUUGUCAACGAAUUAUGAAUAGAUUGUUUGGACGAGGGUUCGAAUCCCUCCAGCUCCACAA